rnacentral:tRNA from 1 species
GACCGCGUAUAGCUCAGUUGGAAGAGCAUUGGGCUAGUAUUCCAAAGGUCGUAGGUUCGAAUCCCACCGUGGCCG